rnacentral:rRNA from 1 species
UUUUUUGAGGAUUUGAUCCUGGUCCAGGAUGAACGCUGGCGGCGUGGAUAAGGCAUGCAAGUCGAGCGAACCGAAUCUUGAUGAGAUUCGCCGAGUAGCAAUACAAAGCGGAAGGAUUUAGGGCUAGGUUAGCGGCAGACGAGUUAGUAAUACCUUGGUACGUACCCCGAAGACGGGCAUAGUUCGCCGAAAGGCGGAGUAAUUCCCGAUAGCCUCCUCUUUCGCUUUUCGCUUCACGAAAGUUCGGAAGAAGGACAAGCCCGCAAGGGCCUGUCCGUCCGUAGCUCAAGUGGAACGCAGAGCGAAGGAGGAGUAAAGUCGUAAGACGCUUCAGGAGCGGCCUAGGUCCGAUCAGCUAGUUGGUAGGGUAAUGGCCUACCAAGGCUAUGACCGGUAGGGAGGGUGAGAGCCUGAUUCCCAACGAGGGCACUGAGACACGGGCCCUACUCCUACGGGAGGCAGCAGUCGAGAAUAUUCGACAAUGGGCGAAAGCCUGAUCGAGCGACGCCGCGUGCAGGAAG